UGCACUCCAGCCUGGGUAACAGAGAAAGGCUCCGUCUGAAAAAAACAAAGGAGUGGGGGGGUCCUGAUAAUGUCUGCGGGGAGGAUGGAUUGUAAGGAUACAAGAUGAGAAGCAGGCAGCAGUCUUGAAUGGUGCCUUAGGAACUGUAGUAGGGGAAUGGUAAUAGGACAGUUUGGGGAUAUAUUUGGAGGUGGCUGGAACUGCCAGAAAAAGAGGUCAUUUCCAGACUUUUGGGGUGCAGGAGCCCCUGAGGACUUUCCAAGGAUCUCACCGUGCCAGGACAGAGCGCGGGCCAGCCUCCCCUAGCAGAGACCCCUGUCUCCCGCCUAGGAGCUGAAAAUCCUGGUGGACUACGACGAGAAAGGCUACCUGCUGCAGAUCUUCACCAAACCGGUGCAGGACCGGCCCACGCUCUUCCUGGAAGUCAUCCAGCGCCACAACCACCAGGGUUUUGGAGCCGGCAACUUCAACUCACUUUUCAAGGCUUUCGAGGAGGAGCAGAACCUGCGGGGCAACCUCACCGACUUGGAGACCAAUGGGGUGGUGCCCGGCAUGUAAGCCCCGCCCACCGCCCUCCCCACAGAGGCCCCGCCCACCCGCAGACACAGCCGCGCCCUCUGAUUCUGGAACUCGCCCAACUUCCCUACUGGCUGCUCCCCUUGGGUCCCGCCCACCAGUAGACUCGGCCCCCAAGGCUCCGCCCACCAUGACCACACCCCUCGGCGUGCCGCCCUUUGCUCCAGCCCUCCGGAUUAAAGCAUGCCCAGGUCCAA